AAGACCGUACUUUAUAGGAUCAUUUCUAUAGUAUGCGUCCCGUCUUUGUUCUCAAACAAAGACAACACUCACAACCACGAUGAGGAGAAAUAGUGUUUUCUUCUGAGCGGGAAGCAUGUUAUUGCUAACAUUGUCAUGGUGUUAAGCAAUAAUACUUGAUGACCGUUCUCACUGUAUUUAGCCAGUGAGAGGAAGAAAACGCAUUCUGAGUGGU